CCACCCGAGAGGAGUGAGGAGAGAGGAGUAAAAUUGGAACGAUACAGAGAAGAUUAGCGUGGCCCCUGCACAAAGAUCAGUUCUGAACUGAUGAAGCCUUUU
ensembl:snRNA U6 U6 spliceosomal RNA